UGACGUCACAUCCGCCCAAACCGGAUGUCUCGAAAAAAAAACCACAGAAGAAGAAGACAGGCUUCUUCGAAGAAAAAAAGAAUAUAAAGAAAAUAAACAACUAAGGGCGGUUCUGUGAAGAACGAUAAAAGACUCCAAGGUGGUUGGAGUACAAGGACAUCCGGGGCACUCCCUGCGCCGGAAACGUCCGUGUCACCAGGUCAGUGACCAUGUGAUAAAGGUAAGUAUUGUGGUAUUGUUUUGGUGUUUUUUCAGGUCACUGGAGUACGAGGACAUCCAGGGCAUUCUCCGCACCGGAAAUGUCCGUGUCCCCAGGAACAACUCGUAGACCAGGAGUCCCCAACCGCCGGCUCUUUGAUGUCUCUGAUGCGGCUCAGCUUGUCACGGCCAGCUCAGCUCGUCAAACCUCAGGACACGCCCACGGCCGCCAGGACGGUGACAUGUGGGUGUCCAGCUGGUAGGACAUGUGGGUGUCCAAGUUAAAGCACCUGACAGCACGCCUUGAAGAUGUUUCACGCCAGAAGGCCGUUCUUGCUCAGAAUCACAAAUAGUGUGAUAUUGAAAACCUCCCCAAGCCAGACUAACUUGUGUUCAAAACUUGGAACGCUAUCCCUCAAUUUUUUGUGAACAUGAAAAAGUAUGCACUUGGAGUUCUGUCCUUCUUUGGAUCCACAUAUGCAUGUGAGCAGGUGUUCUCCAACAUGAACUUUAUUAAAAACAAACAUAUGCAUGUCAGCAGGUGUUCUCCAACAUGAACUUUAUUAAAAACAAACAUAUGCAUGUGAGCAGGUGUUCUCCAACAUGAACUUUAUUAAAAACAAACAUAUGCAUGUGAGCAGGUGUUCUCCAACAUGAACUUUAUUAAAAACAAAGAUGGCACAGGCCUCACAGAUGAGUUUACAAUCCUGUGUGAAGAUAAAGGUGACGUCAUACUGCCCCUAUGUGGAGACGCUGGGCGCUGCGGUUCAGGAGCAAAAUUCACAUUGACCACGUAUGAUAAAUAUUUGAAUUUCCUAUACUUUUGCAUAUAUUCCCAUUUUUUAAUUGUUCAGCGAAAUAGACAUUUUAUCAUCUAGGUUGGCAGCUGAUGCACGGCGCCAGUAAAAAGAUGACGACACAGAGAGAGAGGACGGCAUUUUUGGUUCUCUGCCAGUAGAUCAUUUAAGUUGGGCCUUGUGUUUUUUCAUUACUACAAGGAAGCCUUAAAUAGACAUUAAGUAUUUUACUUAACCUUCAACCUGACGUCUUUUUUGGAGUUAAAAACGUUUUGUUGCAUGCAGAAAUGUAAUUCCAUUUUUUCUGCAGUCGUUCAUUGAUUUCAUAAACGUAAUCCAUCAUAGUUUGUUUAUACAUA